UACAGAGGGGGCAAGCGUUAUUCGGAAUUAUUGGGUGUAAAGGGCGCGUAGGCGGCUUUGCAAGUGGCGGGUGAAAUCCCUCGGCUUAACCGAGGAACUGCCUGCCAGACUGCAUGGCUUGAGACCGGGAGAGGUGAGUGGAAUUCCCAGUGUAGCGGUGAAAUGCGCAGAUAUCGGGAGGAACACCAAUGGCGAAGGCAGCUCGCUGGGACGUGACUGACGCUGAGACGCGAAAGCGUGGGGAGCAAACAGG
rnacentral:rRNA from 1 species